GAUAAACGCCAGCGGCAGGCUUAACACAUGCAAGUCGAGGGGCAGCAUAGAUUGUAGCAAUACAAUUGGUGGCGACCGGCGCACGGGUGCGUAACGCGUAUGCAACCUACCCGUCACAGGGGGAUAAUCCGGAGAAAUCUGGUCUAAUACCCCAUAACAUAUGGAUCGGCAUCGGUUCAUGUUGAAAUUUUCGGAGGUGACGGAUGGGCAUGCGUAGCAUUAGCUUGUUGGUGAGGUAACGGCUCACCAAGGCGACGAUGCUUAGGGGGACUGAGAGGUUUUCCCCCCACACUGGUACCGAGACACGGACCAGACUCCUACGGGAGGCAGCAGUGAGGAAUAUUGGUCAAUGGGCGCAAGCCUGAACCAGCCAUGCCGCGUGCAGGAUGACGGCUCUAUGAGUUGUAAACUGCUUUUGUACGAGGGUAAAGUAGGUUACGUGUAACCUUUUGGAAGUAUCGUACGAAUAAGGAUCGGCUAACUCCGUGCCAGCCGCCGCAGUAA
rnacentral:rRNA from 1 species